AUUGAACGCUGGCGGCAGGCCUAACACAUGCAAGUCGAACGAGUGGCGGACGGGUGAGUAAUGUCUGGGAAACUGCCUGACGGAGGGGGAUAACUACUGGAAACGGUAGCUAAUACCGCAUACCAUCGGAUGUGCCCAGAUGGGAUUAGCUAGUAGGUGGGGUAAAGGCUCACCUAGGCGACGAUCCCUAGCUGGGCUGAGAGGAUGACCAGCCACACGGGAACUGAGACACGGUCCAGACUCCUACGGGAGGCAGCAGUGGGGAAUAUUGGACAAUGGGAGCAAGCCUGAUGCAGCCACGCCGCGUGAAUGAAGAAGGCCUUCGGGUUGUAAAGUACUUUCGGCGGGGAGGCGUGAGCGGCAGAAGAAGCACCGGCUAACUCCGUGCCAGCCGCCGCGGUAAUAC
rnacentral:rRNA from 1 species